rnacentral:rRNA from 1 species
UACGGGGGGGGCAAGCGUUGUUCGGAAUUACUGGGCGUAAAGGGCUCGUAGGCGGCCAACUAAGUCAGACGUGAAAUCCCUCGGCUUAACCGGGGAACUGCGUCUGAUACUGGAUGGCUUGAGGUUGGGAGAGGGAUGCGGAAUUCCAGGUGUAGCGGUGAAAUGCGUAGAUAUCUGGAGGAACACCGGUGGCGAAGGCGGCAUCCUGGACCAAGUUCUGGACGCUGAGGAGCGAAAGCCAGGGGAGCAAACGGG